UACGAGUACCCCAAGCGUUAUCCGGAAUCAUUGGGCGUAAAGGGUGUGUAGGUGGUUGUGUUAGUCUUCUGUUAAAAGUCCGGGCUUAACCCGGAACCUGCAGUGGAAACGGCACGACUCGAGGAUGCGAGAGGUGAAUGGAACUCAUGGAGUAGGGGUGAAAUCCGUUGAUAUCAUGGGGAACACCAAAUGCGAAGGCAAUUCACUGGCGCAAUCCUGACACUGAGACACGAAAGCGUGGGUAGCGAACGGG
rnacentral:rRNA from 1 species